UUUCCAUAAUGUAUGCUCUUUUGUGGCAUUGCAGCCGUUGCAUUGGCCCUAAUUAGGUUGGUGGAGUGGUCACUGUUAGCCAAACGACGCCGGUUUCUAGGCGAUUAAGAGCUUAUCCAGGAUACGUGGGAAUCUGUAAUGGCCCGUGACUAGUGUUUUAAGGCAGAAGGGUGCGUGAUUGUCGUCGAGUACACUUUUUUAACCACACGAAGAGAGUGAUCUCCUGAUUGUCAGAGUACUUGCUUGAGAGCUCUGGGUAGAGUUGGUAAGGAAAGUACAUUUCCAGAGUCACCCAGCAGCAGAUUAUAGGGGAUGUCUAACGUUCCAGAUCAGGGCGAAAUUGUGACAUGGGCUCUCGAAUCUAUCGUUUCUGCACGUUAUCUUUUCUGUCAAUACUUUCUUUAGGGGGUCUGUUACUACAUUUUCCCUAUGGUAUAACAAUGCCUUUCUGUUGCUUUCCCGGCAUUUCCAUCGAAAUCUGCCUCUAACCGUUGAGUGAAGGGAAAAUAAACUUCAGGAAGAGAGCAGGUGAGAGGUUGUAGGGGUAGGGAAAUAUAUGCCUUUUCCCCAAAGCCUUGGAAAGCACAUUCAUCAUAAAUCUUACUCUGCCUCACUUCUAAAGGUUUUUAUCCUGUCGUUGUUUGUAAAUAUAAAACCUCUUUAAAAAAAUCUUUUUUAACGUUUAUUCAUUUUUGAGAGACAGCAUGAGUGGGGAAAGGGCAGAGAGAGGGAGACAGAAUCUGAACCAGGCUCCAGGCUCUGAGCUGUCAGCACAGAACCCCACACGGGGGCUCCUCACGAACUGCGAGAUCCUGACCUGAGCCGAAGUCCGACGCUCAACUGAGCCACCCAGGCGCCCCAAAACCUCUUUGUUCAAUAAAAAUUUUAAAUGUUUAUUUUAGAAAGAGAGAAAGAGUGUGAGUGGGGGAGGGGCAGAGAGAGAGGGAGACACAGAAUCAGAAAAAUGCUCCAGGCUCUGAGCUGUCAGCACAGAGCCCAGCCUGGGGCUCAAACCCAUGAACUGGGAGAUCAUGACCUGAGCUGAAAUCGGAUUAACAGACUGAGCCAUCCAGGUGCCCCCAAACCUUUCUUUUCUAUUGUAUCCCUUGGUUCACCUUGCUUCCAUAAAAACAAAAAUAUUUCUUUAGUUACAGAGCUAAC